rnacentral:tRNA from 1 species
AGCUCUUUAGGGGGUUGUUUCCGGCCUCUCACGCCGGAAACAGGGGUUCGAUUCCCCUUGGGGCUACCA